rnacentral:rRNA from 1 species
GUGCCAGUUGUUCUGCCAAGAGCACGGCUGGUUGGCUACGUUGGGAAGUGAUAACCGCUGAAAGCAUCUAAGCGGGAAGCACGCUUCAAGAUGAGGGUUCCCACAGAUUAAUCUGGUAAGGCCCCCGGUAGACCACCGGGUUGAUAGGUCGGAUGUGGAAGUGCGGCAACGCAUGGAGCUGACCGAUACUAAUAGGCCGAGGGCUUGAUCUU